rnacentral:rRNA from 1 species
UACGGGGGGGGCAAGCGUUGUUCGGAAUUACUGGGCGUAAAGGGCUCGUAGGCGGCCAACUAAGUCAGACGUGAAAUCCCUCGGCUUAACCGGGGAACUGCGUCUGAUACUGGAUGGCUUGAGUUUGGGAGAGGGAUGCGGAAUUCCAGGUGUAGCGGUGAAAUGCGUAGAUAUCGUAAGGAAGACCAGUGGCGAAGGCGGGUCUCUGGACAGUUCCUGACGCUGAGGCACGAAGGCCAGGGGAGCGAACGGG